rnacentral:lncRNA from 1 species
AAUUGACAGCAGCUGAAGUGGAAGGAAAAAAAUGAAAAUAUAAAGUGCUGAAAAUCACGUGGGCGACAGACUGGCUUACAACUGCAGUACGUUAAAGAACUGUUGUCUCUGGAAAUUAAGACAUGGCUUUUUGGAGAAAAAGCAGGUGGCAGCAUUAUUACAGCUCCCUAAUUGGAGGUCUCUUUCUUAGAGCUUCCUCCACCUCCCCCCUUUCUUUGGCAUGUCUUUGAAGAGGUUUUUAGAGCUUAUUUUCCUCAAGGUAACUAUGAAUAAUGCUUUCCUUAUGGGUAGUCAUGAUUAGCUCUGCUCACUCCUG